GACGAACGCUGGCGGCGUGCUUAACACAUGCAAGUCGAGCGGUAAGGCCCUUUCGGGGGUACACGAGCGGCGAACGGGUGAGUAACACGUGGGUGACCUGCCCUCAGCUCUGGGAUAAGCCUGGGAAACUGGGUCUAAUACUGGAUAUGACUCCACGGUGCAUGUCGUGGGGUGGAAAGCCUUGUGCGGCUGAGGAUGGGCCCGCGGCCUAUCAGCUUGUUGGUGGGGUGANGGCCUACCAAGGCGACGACGGGUAGCCGGCCUGAGAGGGCGACCGGCCACACUGGGACUGAGACACGGCCCAGACUCCUACGGGAGGCAGCAGUGGGGAAUCUUGCGCAAUGGGCGAAAGCCUGACGCAGCGACGCCGCGUGAGGGAUGG
rnacentral:rRNA from 1 species